rnacentral:misc_RNA from 1 species
ACAGCAAGAGAACACACAAGACCAAUACAAGAUCUAUUCAUACGGCGCGUUGUUCUCCUGUUAUUCAGUACUCAGUAGGAACGGGUCCGAUAACAUACUCACUCGCAGCGCUAUAACGAGGCGUUGAGCGCUAUAACGCAGAAGUAAACGAGGAAGAAAGAUUGUGACAGCGCAGUUGACAGACCGCCGUCAACGCGGAAGUGAAAUGCGUGACAUCGACAAGCCACAGUAGAACUAUCAGCGACACGGCCCGACCUACACCGCAAAUAACAUCAUGCCGUUUAAGGGAUUCUUCAAACUUUUUGGCUUCAAGAAAAAUAAGGACACGGCUAAGACGCCGCGGACUCACCCGUACGACGAGGUGAAAGAGGAAGAUCUCAAGCCCAACCAAACACCACCAAAGAGGCGGCCGCGAGAGUAUGACGAGAUCGAGAUUGAUGACGACGCUUCCGGUCCAACUAUGGUGUCAGAGAUUUCAGCAAAGCCAGAGGUAGGCGGCUCCCAAGACAAAGACUCUCAACUACAUCGAGGUGGAGGUGCAGCAGCAGAACCCGGAUGCUGAUGUCCGGAGAGCAGCUCCAUCUACACAGUACACCACGAUAGAUGUCGCUGCCACGUCAGCUGCUUCCGGGAGGAAGAUAUCGCUGUCAGAAUGAGGCUGGAGUGAACGACAGACCUGUGCCCGAGUCUUGUACAUAGACACUGUACAUAUUGUGUAUACAUGCCAUGACGUCACACUCUACUGUACAUAAACUCACUUUAAGCCACGUGGUCCUCACACGCAUGCGCAGUUGAUGGUGCGUGUUCCUUGCUGGAUGAGAUUAAUGGUGUUGCUGGGUACGGCGUCAGGCAACAGACAGACAAUUACUUUUUAAUUGAAAUGAUGUAAGUGGCAGGUGCUUCCAGUUAGCAGGACCUGCCUACUCUUGUCACGACCUGCCUACUCUUGUCACGACCUGCCUACUCUUGUCACGACCUGCCUACUCUUGGCACGACCUGCCUACUCUUGGCACGAACACCUGGUGUCAGCACUGUUUUCGGUGAUCCAUUCAUGUAUUUUUCAUCACUAUUUUGUCGUUUGCACCCUGCGGAAUUUGUGUCGGCUUAUUACUGAGACUGAUCAUUCCCUGAGGUUCUAAAUGUCCAGUAAACAUUGACUAAGUUGCUUUAAUGCGAUUGUAAAAGUACUUCUCUCAUGUUACGUCGGAAGAGCUAGAGGAGGACGACAUAUCGAAACUGUUGGUGCCAGACAAUUUGGCUGGUGUUGAUAUUUUGUCUAGAACUACAUGUUGUAACUAAUGCCAAGUGUAAUUGAGGUGUGCGCUUAUUGCUUGAUAUAUUAAAGUGUUUACAUUUUACGGAUAACGUGGAUUUACUUGAUAUGACUGACGUUGCCAGUUAACCCAGGUCUAGGCCUCCCCGCAAAACAUGUAAUGUCAUCCUACCAGUAUUAAAAGCAGGGAUAACGUAGAUUUACUUGAUAUGACUGACGUUGCCAGUUAACCCAGGUCUAGGCCUCCCCGUAAAACAUUUAAUGUCAUCUUGGCAGCAUACACGCAGUGAUAACGUGGAUUUACUUGAUAUGACUGAAGUUGCCAGUUAACCCAGGUCUAGGCCUCCCCGCAAAACAUGUAAUGUCAUCUUGGCAGCAUACACGCAGUGACGGGUCGGCCUCGCACUUCUCUUUAUUUGUCAAAAGGCGAUUGAAAAACAGGUUAAAACUAAGAUGGCGUGAAGCCCCUAUUCGAUACGGCCAUCAGGUGGUGUCAAGCCCCUGUUCAAUACAGCCAUUAGGUGGUGUCAAGCAUCUGUUCAAUACGGCCUUCAGAUGGUAUCAAGCCCCUGUUCGAUACGGCCAUCAGGUGGUGUCAAGCCCCUGUUCGAUACGGCCAUCAGGUGGUGUCAAGCCCCUGUUCGAUACGGCCAUCAGGUGGUGUCAAGCCCCUGUUCGAUACGGCCAUCAGGUGGUGUCAAGCCCCUGUUCGAUACGGCCAUCAGGUGGUGUCAAGCCCCUGUUCAAUACGGCCACCAGGUGGUGUCAAGCCCCUGUUCAAUACGGCCACCAGGUGGUGUCAAGCCCCUGUUCAAUACGGCCACCAGGUGGUGUCAAGCCCCUGGUCAAUACGGCGACCAGGUGGUGUCAAGCCCCUGUUCAAUACGGCCACCAGGUGGUGUCAAGCCCCCGUUCGAUACGGCCAUCAGGUGGUGUCAAGCCCCUGUUCGAUACGGCCAUCAGGUGGUGUCAAGCCCCUGUUCAAUACGGCCACCAGGUGGCGCAGAACUGUACACGGGCGGUCAACAGAGUCGCAGUUUAAAGAAUGUCCGACAUUGUUAGGGAUUCCUUAGAAGAAUCAUUGUUGCUGGCGAAUCAGUAUAUUUGAAAGUUGAUGAUCACCUGGCAAAAUAAAACGACUUAGCCUUUG